rnacentral:rRNA from 1 species
ACACGACUACAUUAGAUACCCCCGUAGUCCUGGCCGUAAACGAUGUGGACUUGGUGUUGGAAUGGCUCCGAGCUGCUCCAGUGCCGAAGGGAAGCUGUUAAGUCCACCGCCUGGGAAGUACGGUCGCAAGACUGAAACUUAAAGGAAUUGGCGGGGAGCACCACAACGCGUGGAGCCUGCGGUUUAAUUGGAUUCAACGCCGGACAUCUCUCCAGGGGCGACAGCAGAAUGAUGGCCAGGUUGAUGACCUUGCUUGACAAGCUG